AAGUCGUAACAAGGUUUCCGUAGGUGAACCUGCGGAAGGAUCAUUACCAAUAUAGCGAACCGAGCGUUAGCGAGGCUUCGCGAUCAAAUUUGUAUUUAAAACCCAACUCUUUAAAUGUAUACAUUAUUGUAUUUUAAAUAAUAAAGAUCACUUUCAACAACGGAUCUCUUGGUUCUC
rnacentral:misc_RNA from 1 species